GAUGAACGCUGGCGGCGUGCUUAACACAUGCAAGUCGAACGGAAAGGCUCCUGCUUGCAGGGGUACUCGAGUGGCGAAAGGGUGAGUAACACGUGGGUGAUCUGCCCUGCACUUCGGGAUAAGCCUGGGAAACUGGGUCUAAUACCGGAUAGGACGAUGGUUUGGAUGCCAUUGUGGAAAGUUUUUUCGGUGUGGGAUGAGCUCGCGGCCUAUCAGCUUGUUGGUGGGGUAAUGGCCUACCAAGGCGUCGACGGGUAGCCGGCCUGAGAGGGUGUACGGCCACAUUGGGACUGAGAUACGGCCCAGACUCCUACGGGAGGCAGCAGUGGGGAAUAUUGCACAAUGGGCGCAAGCCUGAUGCAGCGACGCCGCGUGGGGGAUGACGGCCUUCGGGUUGUAAACUCCUUUCGCUAGGGACGAAGCGCAAGUGACGGUACCUGGAGAAGAAGCACCGGCUAACUACGUG
rnacentral:rRNA from 1 species